AACUCCCAAGGUGAAAUUUACAUUGAUUGGAAGAUUCUUUGGAUAGAAUAUUCCUGCCAAAAGACAUCAGAAGGGGGACUAACUGAUGUAUGGAUUUUGACACCAGAUUUUACCCUGCACGAGCAGGCCAACUUGAGGAGAUCAGGAGUGGGAAAACCGAGCCCUGUCCUUGAUCAAGAAAAGUUGGAUUUGUUGAGAGGACCUGAUCUCAAAUGAGAUCAUGCACAAGACGCACCUCGCAAAGGCCAUGACAGUAUAGUUUUCAGACCUGAUCAGCUGGUGACUGCUCUAUGAAGUGUUGUUCAACCUACCCUAAGGGGGAGAUUCGAGAGGGUCUCCUGAUUGCUGAACACUACGCCAUGAUGUCAUCUCCAAAAAGUUUGCCCUGCCCAUAUCAACAGUGGAAGAGAAC